GUGAAUCAUCAAAUUUUUGAACGCAAAUCGCACUCCCUGGUAUUCCGGGGAGUAUGCCUGUUUGAGGGUCGUUAGAAUAAAAAAUCGAGGCGUCGCUCUUUUUUUUAAGGCUGAUCGCGUCUGAAUUGAGCAGUCUUUCAAAUGGUAAUUCAUGUCAAAGUGGCUUGAACUUCAUCCAUCCGGUACGAUUAAUGUGUAAUUAAGAAC
rnacentral:misc_RNA from 1 species